rnacentral:rRNA from 1 species
GACGAACGCUGGCGGCGUGCUUAACACAUGCAAGUCGAACGGAAAGGCCCUUCGGGGUCCUCGAGUGGCGAACGGGUGAGUAACACGUGGGUGAUCUGCCCUGCACUUUGGGAUAAGCCUGGGAAACUGGGUCUAAUACCGAAUAGGACCACGCGCUUCAUGGUGUGUGGUGGAAAGCUUUUGCGGUGUGGGAUGGGCCCGCGGCCUAUCAGCUUGUUGGUGGGGUAAUGGCCUACCAAGGCGACGACGGGUAGCCGGCCUGAGAGGGUGACCGGCCACACUGGGACUGAGAUACGGCCCAGACUCCUACGGGAGGCAGCAGUGGGGAAUAUUGCACAAUGGGCGCAAGCCUGAUGCAGCGACGCCGCGUGAGGGAUGACGGCUUUCGGGUUGUAAACCUCUUUCAAUAGGGACGAAGCGCAAGUGACGGUACCUAUAGAAGAAGCACCGGCCAACUACGUG